rnacentral:lncRNA from 1 species
GCGGGGGCGGGGCCCACAACCUGGGGGAGUGGCUACACUCGCGGGCUCAGAGGACCUGCGGAGGUAGCCUGGAGACGGAGUCCGACCGGAGGUGAGAUUGGUGGGCAAGGGGCGUGACCUGCGCCGACUCGUGGCGGCGCUUGGCCCCGAGUCACCGAGUCUGGCAGGCAGUGUCCCGCUAGGCAAAGCCGCGCCUCCUGGGCUCCUCGCCUCGGGAAUUGAAGGUCAGGCGUUGGGCCAGGCCCGCCAGGCGAGUAGACUCACCUGCCAGGGCACACACCUGAGAGACGAAGAGCUUCCUGACUCGAGGGACGGGGUGUUCAGUUCUGAGGACUCUUGCCCGCAGCGCUGUCACUACACUCAAAGAAAUGUUCUUUUCAUCUCCCCAGGAAAGCUGCCUUCUGUGUCUCCAAAAUCCAUCUCCUUCCAGGUUCCUUGAAUUACUCAAUUUCACUCUGAGGCCCCACAAUGCGUUCAAAUAUUGUAGAAGCCGUCAACUGACAAACCCUGGAAUACCCAACAAUGAGGGAGAGGCAUUUAAAUUGCUAUUAUCCCUGCAGUAGGGUAUAUGUUAGCACUUUAAACGCCAUAUGUUCUAGGAAUUCUCACCAAGAUGAGAAAACGUUCACAAUGUAUCAUUAAGAAAGAAGCAAGAAAAAAAAAAGAAAGCAAGAAACAAAUAUAUAUAGAAUGAUCCCACUUAUGAACCAUAUAUAUGGAGCAAAAAAAUACAUAGACAGUCCUGGAAGAUACAUGCCAAAUAACGGUGGUUCAUCAUUUCACUGUAGAAGGAAAGGAGUAAGACAGGAACAGAAAUGAUGAGGGCUCUUUGGUCACAAUUGAAGCAAAAUGAAGUGAAGAUGGAAGCUUGCAGUGCUUUGAAGUUACAAGUGGAAGCUCAUCUUUGCUUCUAGCUACAUGAAAGAGAGACAAUCUUGUCAAACCUGUGGACUUGAGUACACAUGCAUGCUCUCAUGAGACAAUCAGCACGUAUUCCUGGCUGUGAUUUAGAUGUGGCUUGUCUCUGCCAAAACUCAUGUUGAUAUUUGGUUGCCAAAGCAGAAGGGUUUGGAGAAGGGGCCUUUGGAAGGUGACUGGGUCACUGGGGUACCAUCCUCGUGAGUGGAUUAGUGUUUUUCUCCAGAGGCUAGACUAGAUCUUGUGAGAAAGGAUUCAUUCUUCUGAGAGUGUGUUUCUAUCAAGUGAGCCUGGUGCCUCCCCUCUCUUUCCAGCUUGCUUUUCUCUUGCACACACCCACUUCACCUUCUGUUUUACUCCAGGAGUUGGUACAGAUUAAGGCUCUCCCCAGAUGUGGCCACCUGAUCUUGGUUUUCCCAGCCUCCAGGACCAUGAGCCAAAAUAAACCUCUUUGGUCCAUGAUACCCAGACAUUGAAGAUAUUCAGUUUCAUCCCCUGGAGAAAAAGAAAGAGAACUGAAUAUUUGGAGGGAAAGAAUGUGUUGUUAAAGUCUGAUAACUGAUAAUGAAAUCCUUGUUAUUGUUUUAACAAGUGCAUAGGUUGGAAGAAGACUUCCUUCCAGACCUCGCAGCUUGGACCUCUGCCCUAUUUACAGUUCUUAACUAAGGGUUUCUCCUACCCAGUGAAAUUUUUCCAUGUGUAACUCUAAAGGGUCUUCAGAACAUCUGUCCAGGGCCCUUGGUGGAGAGUGAAUAGCAUUCCAUAACUGUCCCUUUUUGAACCAGUGCCAAAAGUCUCAGCUUUUCCAUGCUGAAUAUGAAAAAGCUUUUUAUGGUGUCAUUAGGAAGGAGAUUCUGGCACCACCAGAAUUAAAAGUCAUGUGGGUGGCAGGGUUUUGAGUCCCUCAACCAAUGUGAUGCAUAUCCCUGUAAUUGUUUUGCAGGGCCUCUAACCAGUAGGUUGGUCUUAUCUCCCUACCUGAGAUAGCUCCCAGGCCCUCUGAUGCUAAUGUGAAGUUGCCUUUACUUUGGGAAAGCAAGGUUAAAUAAGACAGUUUGUAGCCAUGUAACCCCAGCACUCUGGGAGGCUGAGGCAAGAAGAUUGCAAGUUCAGGAAUAGUCUAGGCAUCUUGGCAACCCAGAAAGAAUCUGUCUCAAAAUAAAAAAUAAAACAGGGCUAGAGAUGUAUCUCAGUGUGACAACUCUGUGUUCAAUUCCCAGUACUGCCAAAAACAAACAAACAAAAAGACAAGACACUUGUUCUAUAGCACAUUAGGAUAACUAUGGCUGACAAUAAUUAAUUGUAUAUUUCAAACUACAGUAGUUUAUAGAGAGGAUUUUAAAUGUCACAACACAGAGAAAUUAUAAAUGUUUGAGGCAAUAGUGUUAAACCAAGUACCUUGAUAACAUGUUGUAUGCAUUUAUUGAAAUACUACACCAAAUCCCAUAAAUAUAUACAAUUCAUAUGUGGUAAUUUAAAAAAUAAUUCAUUGAAGGGACUUUCAACAGCUCUUAACUCUAUGUCAAAGGAUAUUCCCAGACAAUAAGAGCUUCACUUAUUAUAAGGGUAGAUUUCAUUGCCCUCUUGCCCAACACAUGCAGGAUUUACAUUCAUCUGAAGACUGGCAUGGCUGGUCAGCCUACCCUUCUCCUGGGUUGUGGGACUAGCAAGUAGGUGGAAGAGAGAGUAGGGGUUCAAGACUUGGGGGAAUUCUUCAAGGUGUGACCUUAAAUAAGGGACAGCUACACAGGAGCAUUUUUUCCUGAUCUUAAGGCAGUCUACACUCCAACUGAUGCUUGAAGGAUCAGCAAUUCCUGUUAUACAGGGGAGAUACUCAUUUUGGG